GACACGCAUUAUAAAGAUAUUAAGAUACAAGUCUAAGUAGAUCGCUGAUAUUGCUUAUAAAUAUAGAGUAAAAAGAAAAAAAUAACAUCAAUGAAAAUUUGAAGUAAAAUGAUGUCAAAAAUAUUUUUAUUUUACUUUAUUAUUUUAAUAACUGUGGUUACUGAUGUUAUUACUAAUGUGAUCACUAAUAUAGACAGGAAUAAUUUACGCACUCGCAAUAACCGUGGAAAUAUAGCAGAAAAUCGCAAUAGUGUUCACUGUAUUACACUAUAUGGAGGAACUUGUCGCAAUAUUAAGAACGGCAAGAAAUGUCUUACAAAUCAAAAAUGCAGAAAAGAUUCAGAUUGCGACCUGUCACUCAAGUGCAUUUAACGAUAACAAGCAUCUCCUUGAUGUUUUUGUUGCUUUGCAGUUUGUUUAGUAGUUUUUAUUUUAAAACAUAAUUGAAAAAAAAUGUAAUUGUUGGAGCAAAUUACAUAAAACAUUGAA